UACGUAGGUGGCAAGCGAUACUCGGAAUCACUAGGCGUAAAGCGCAGGUAGGCGGUUGGAUAAGUCUGUUGUGAAAGCUCCCGGCUUAACUGGGAGAGGUCAACGGAAACUAUCCGGCUGGAGUGUGGUAGAGGUAGCUGGAAUUCCCGGUGUAGCGGUGAAAUGCGUAGAUAUCGGGAGGAAUACCUAUGGCGAAAGCAGGCUACUGGACCAUCACUGACGCUGAUCUGCGAAAGCUAGGGGAGCAAAC
rnacentral:rRNA from 1 species